CAGUAAAUAUUUUAUAAAUAAAAUUUUAGUUUUGGAGACUAAGGAAGAAUAAUUUUCUUUACUGA
rnacentral:tRNA from 1 species